UACAACUCCAUUAAUGAUGAUUUUACAGCCCAAUAUUAGUGCUAAACCUGUAGAUAAUUGCUUUUCAUCUAAGCAGCCUUUACAAAGGUCUUUAGACUUGCUUUUGAUUGAUUCCCUCUAGGUCUGGCUUCCUUUGUGCUUAUUCCUGUGGUGUGUGCUGUGCACUAAAUGCAGCCAUCUACUGGUGGAAACUUUUAUUAAGUUGAACUCUAAUAGUAGGAAACUUAACAUUUGCUCCAGCACGCUGUUAAUACUGAAGCCAAAGUAUUUUUCUCUGGUAGCGUUGUCUGUACAUUUUGUUUUUUGUUUUUUUUUUGGGGGGGGGGGGGGGGGGGGAUAUAUUUCUUGUCAAAGUCAAAGUCACUGUGAGAAUCAAGACAUCAAAAUCUGAAGCCUUAGAGUCUUUAUGAAAUGUUUUUUGGAAAAAAAAAAUGUUCGUAUUUCAGCUUGUUUCACAACCAUCUAUACUUGAUUUGACUUGGCUCUAAGCUAUAAUUGUUUUUUGUGUGUAUGUGGAGAGGCACAGCCAAAUAGGGGGGCCUCCAUUGAAAAACAGCCAUCUAUUUUCCCGCUGCGUACCUGCCAAACCUACAGUUUCAAGCUGCGCAACUGUGCGAGCAAUUGUGUGUUUUUUUUUCCCCACCUAAAGCAAAAUAUGAGCAGUAUCAGGCCCACAUCUGUUUUUACGGCUCUCUGGGUUCACAUAUCCACAUCCUGCGUCAUUAUCUGGCACAGCAGAGAGAGAGAGGGAGAGGGUUAAAUGUAGAGAGCAGUGAGCGUGGAGUUGUUUUGGCCACAUUAGUGAGCUCUGCAGUAUAAUCUGGUUGUGUGAUGUGGUCUGAGAUAGCACUGGGAUGAUUCACAAAGACCGUGGUCUCGUGUCAUCUGAAUCCUGGACUGGUGGAUUGAUUGCUGCGUUGCUUCUUCUCAUCUUUUUUUUCCCCUGUCUCUUCCUUCUUUCCUCUUCUCUAUGACCCUGUGCUGGGAUUGAGUUGCUCACCGUCAAGCUGGAAUGUAUCUCCAACCAGAUGUUGGGAGGACCUUCUAGGAGCAUAUAGGUUUAUUCCCCCCCCCACUUGUUCUUUUCUUGCUGUCACUCCCUCGGCCUCCCUUUCAGCUCACUUAAAUUAUUCCUUUUCUUCCUCUCUGUCUCACUAUUUCCUACCUCCUUAUUUUCUUUCUUGUCUAUUUAUCAUUCUAGUAUUUUCCUUUUUCAUUCCUCUCCACUUCAUAUAUCUUCGGUCUCUCUUCCCGGCUGUUUGAAGUGGUUCUCGUCUGUGCCGAGUGGUAUUAGUGAGUUGUGCUCCAUUACAGUGGAAUGCAUCAGGGCCCAGAUGUUUCAGGGACAGUAUAUCGUGCCCCUCCGCUCCUCCUAUACCACUUGUCCCAUUCCUCAUCCCUCUCUGCUCCUGUGAAGUGGUUCUGAUCAGAGUAGCGCAGCACGUGCAUGGGCCAAAGAGAGAUGCUGACUCGGCUCUCAGCCCAUUCCUGUGGUUCUGUUUCAUGUCUGACAUGUGAGCCUUGCUCGGCUCCACUUUGGAGGAAAGAAAAAACACGCCUGGGUUUAGGCCUCGGCUCUUGGCUGCUCUGUCUAAUGCUAUGGCAGCAAACAGGCUCACUUCAAAGGGCCUUUGCACUCUGCUCUGGGCGAGGUCGGCCGCUCUGAAGUCUCCCGGCUCUCCAGCUGUUCCCAAGCCGUCCGAGCUUGUGGCUGUUUGACCUCUGAUCUCUCUGGUGAUGCGGCAGCGCCUCGUGUUGCUACACAAGAUGACCUAAGACAUGCUCCCCCCUCACCCCUAUACUCUCAACUUCAGACAAGCCAGCUAAAAAUAAGCUCCAGCUCCAAAAGAUGACAGGGGGCACACAUCUCUGGUUUUGGACUUAAUUCAGGCCCAUUGCUGACUCGACACCCCUCCCCACUCCUCCUCUCUCCACCUGCCCCUGUGUGCCACUCUGCCGCAAAGGAAAACCACAGCAGAUCCAGGGCUAAUAAAGGCGUUGUGGUCAGGCCAGCCGCAGGACCACCUGAGUCAACUAAUCAUUGACUUGACUGCUCUCAUUUAGGGCCCUUUCUCCUGCUAUAAAACACUCUAGAGGCGGGCUGGCCGAGUUGCUGCCCUACAGCCACCAGUCAAAGGUAAAAUGUAGCCUGGGGCAGGCUUUAAAGUAUUUAAGUAUUAUUAUUUGCCCUGAAGUUAUGAGAGCAUGCCCUCUCAUGGCUUGCCUUUAUUCUUCAAGACAAUUAUGGUAGGUGGGAGGUUUUGCCCUUCUUAUUUGACUCCUCUCUGAAGUGGUUUUCACUUUUAAGGCUGUUAAAAACUCUACUUGAUGUUAUAGUUGACAGUGCUCACUGUUUGAAUCCCAGCAGGCCUGCUGAAGUGCUUACAGAGCUCAGGUCAGAGAUGUAGCCUUUGUAGCCGUGUCUGUUCUUACCCUUUUCAUCUGGUCCUUGUUUGUCACAGAGCGUCAAGCGGUUCCUCUUGUGGCGGGGAAGCUCACUGAACAGCCCCCAUGAGCAU